AUGGAGUUUAACCGUGCCUCUGGUCCUGAUAACAUUCCUGCUGAGUUCUACCAGCAUUGCUGGGAAGUGGUGUGUGCAGACCUCUUUAGAUUGUUUGAGUGGUUCUAUGAGGGUAGACUUGAUGUUCAAUGCUUAAAUUAUGGCAUCAUCACCCUCCUUCCCAAAAUCUCUACAGCCAACAAAAUCCAGCAGUAUAGACCAAUAUGCUUUUUACGUUGCCCUUAUAAGCUGAUCACAAAAGUCAUGGAUAGGAGAGCUAGUGUUUAUGCCCCCAAACUUUUCAGCAUUCAACAGAAUGCUUUCAUAAAGGGGAGGAACAUUAUGGAUGGUGUGUUAUCAUUGUAUGAGAUUAUGCAUAUACUCAUGUGA
rnacentral:rRNA from 1 species